ensembl:lncRNA
UUUUUUUUUUUUUUAAGGGCUGCACCCUCGGCACAUGGAGGCUCCCAGACUAGAGGUCAAAUUGGAGCUAUAGCUGCCAGCCUACACCACAGCCACAGCAAUGCCAGAUCCUUAAGGCCAGGGAUUGAAUCUGCAACCUCGUGGUUCCUAGUCAGAUUGGUUGCCACUGUGCCACAAUGGGAACUCCCCUCAGGUUCUUUCUUGAAACAAGUUUUAACAUCUUGCCGGCUUCCUCCUUCAUUAAGAUCUUCGCGGAGUUCCUGUCGUGGCGCAGUGGUUAACGCAUCUGACUAGGAACCAUGAGGUUGCAGGUUCGAUCCCUGGCCUCGCUCAGUGGGUUAAGGAUCCAGCGUUGCUGUGAGCUGUGGUGUAGUGUUCUUUCCUCUCUUUACCAUGGAAAAAUAAAAGGCUAAUAUUUCCGCUCCUGUCCUGGCAGAGUUUGGAGUCCAUCUUUCUCGCCCUAGAGGAAAGGAAUUGUUUUCCAGCUGCCAGUGACUUGGUCUCAAGGCUUAACCUGCCCUCAGGUGUGCGGGAAGGAGCCGAGGAGACAGGAAGUGCUUGAGCCGGGAACAGGAAGGAGAAGGAAUUCCCCCGUCUGCUCGAAGGAGCACAGGAAACCUGGCAAAGUUCCGUGUGCGGGCACUGCUCAAAGGCUCAGGAGCCCCGAGGAGCACAGGCUUCACGUGCCAGGACCUGGGAGUGUCCAGAAAGGACCCAUUUGAUCUGAAUCUGCCCCACGCCUGCCCUACACAGGGCUGUGCUGCCAACUCCCUGCUUGUCCCUCACUUCCACAGUCCCUCUCCAUGGCAGAUAUCCCGCCGGGACGCUCUGACGGGCCCAAAGCAAAUGUCAACCUACAGGCUGUAAAUAUCUGCCUCCUUGAGCCCUGUUGCCCACCUGUUCCACCCCUCCCCUAAGGUAGCACUUAAAGGGUUAAUGCCCAUUGAGACAGGGGGCCCCAUAGGGUCCCUAGCCAGCCUAUUCAGAUUGUUUCCCGCCUGUAAAGAACUUGAUGUUGAAUAUUUUUGGGGUUGUCCCCGGCAUCUGUCUGGGGGUGGGGGGGGUGGGGGCGGGCAGGCAGUGCAAGAACUGACUCAACAAGCCCCAGAUUCCCUGAGUGGGAUAGUGGUUAAUGUCGUCUUCAUCUCUCUUGCUUUCUCCCAGCCCUGUGGGUCUCUCCCAACGUGCUUCCUAUGGGCCCCGUCUCUCACAGCUGUCCUGGAUCCAAAAUGAGCAGGGCAGCCCACACUAGUAAGGGCUGACACUGCUCCAGAAGCCUCUGCACCUCCGUCCCCACUGCUGACUGCCACACUCAUCACGUGACCUCACUUCCUCCUUAUUCUGCCCAAAGCUUCGUUCUCCCCACCUACACGAGGAAAUGAGCUCAGAGAGAGGAGGCGCUCGCCUCAUUCACGUGACUGGGAAGUAGGAAGGCCAGGAGGCAAAAGCACCGGGCCAUUUAAGGCCUUGAUGAGCCUGGAGCAUUUGUAGCCCUGAAGUCCCCACCACACGACAUCAAACACGCGAACACGCAGCUCACGGGGUAAAUGCAAUGACCUCGCAACUACAUGCUUUGAGUUGCGGUUGGCCGGUGAACCCAGUUGUUUUGGGGCUGUUAAUAAACAUCUAUUCAUUUCAAUUUGGCAGCUCCCUUUUCGGAUUUGAGAGUAAGAAUUUUUUUUUUCAGGACGCAGACACUUUGAGAAGGCCGACUGUGCUGUAAUACUGCAAGGAGACAAUAGGCUGAAACCCUGGCCUUCACCAGGCAUGCCCGGCUGCUCCCCCAACCUGCAACACGAUCCCCAUUUUACAUACAAGAAAACCACAUCCAGGAUUCCUUUGGAUGCAAACAGCAGCGGACUGUGACUCACCGGCUGAAGCAAAAUAACAUGUCUGUAUUACUGUGAGUUUACUAUUCCAGCAAACACCUGCCCAAGAAGACAAAAGGUGCAAAUAACUUCACUCCUUGACUUCAGAAAAAGCCACCCCACACCACACAGAUUUUUAACAAGCAGCGUCAACUGCUGAAGUUCCAAGACUCUGAAACCCUCAUCUCUCUGAGGCCACAAACCCUAAACCACCGGGACCAACAAUCCUAACCUGUAUAACAUGAUGCUUACCC